rnacentral:rRNA from 1 species
UCCGUAGGUGAACCUGCGGAAGGAUCAUUAAUGAAUUGUUAGGACGCUCUUUUUAGAGGUCCGACCCCUUCAUUUCCUUACACUGUGCACACACUUCUUUUCACACAUUUUUUAACCCAUUAGUCUAAGAAUGUAAAUAGUCUCUUAAUUGAGCAUAAAAUAAAUAAAACUUUUAGCAACGGAUCUCUUGGCUCUUGCAUCGAUGAAGAACGCAGCGAAUUGCGAUAAGUAAUGUGAAUUGCAGAAUUCAGUGAAUCAUCGAAUCUUUGAACGCACCUUGCACUCUUUGGUAUUCCGAAGAGUAUGUCUGUUUGAGUGUCAUGAAACUCUCAACCCCCCUGUUUUGUAAUGAAACGGGCGUGGGCUUGGAUUAUGGCUGUUUGUCGGCGUCAUUGCCGGCUCAGCUGAAAUACACGAGCAACCCAUUUGAAAUAGACGGUUUGACUCGGCGUAAUAAUUAUUUCGCUGAGGACGUUUUCUUCAAAAGUCAGUGGUGCUUCUAAUGCGCUUUUUAAUUAAAGCACCUUAAGCUUUAGACCUCAAAUCAGUCAGGACUACCCGCUGAACUUAAGCAUAUCAAUAAGCGGAGGA